rnacentral:misc_RNA from 1 species
CAACCCUCAAGCCCUCUGCGCGCUUGGUGUUGGGGACCGGCCCGCCUGCCUCGCGGCGGCGGGCCGCCCCCGAAAUGAAUUGGCGGUCUCGUCGCAGCCUCCCUUGCGUAGUAACAUACCACCUCGCAACCGGGAGCGCGGCGCGGCCACUGCCGUAAAACGCCCAACUUCUCCAAG